UAGGGAAUCUUCGGCAAUGGGGGCAACCCUGACCGAGCAACGCCGCGUGAGUGAAGAAGGUUUUCGGAUCGUAAAGCUCUGUUGUAAGUCAAGAACGAGUGUGAGAGUGGAAAGUUUACACUGUGACGGUAGCUUACCAGAAAGGGACGGCUAACUACGUGCCAGCAGCCGCGGUAAUACGUAGGUCCCGAGCGUUGUCCGGAUUUAUUGGGCGUAAAGCGAGCGCAGGCGGUUUGAUAAGUCUGAAGUUAAAGGCUGUGGCUCAACCAUAGUUCGCUUUGGAAACUGUCAAACUUGAGUGCAGAAGGGGAGAGUGGAAUUCCAUGUGUAGCGGUGAAAUGCGUAGAUAUAUGGAGGAACACCGGUGGCGAAAGCGGCUCUCUGGUCUGUAACUGACGCUGAGGCUCGAAAGCGUGGGGAGCGAACAGGAUUAGAUACCCUGGUAGUCCACGCCGUAAACGAUGAGUGCUAGGUGUUGGAUCCUUUCCGGGAUUCAGUGCCGCAGCUAACGCAUUAAGCACUCCGCCUGGGGAGUACGACCGCAAGGUUG
rnacentral:rRNA from 1 species